rnacentral:lncRNA from 1 species
UAAGUCCUAUGUGGCAUGAAAUAUGGUUUGGUGGCGUUGCAAUUGCAAAGGAAUUUUGAAAGAUCCCGAUGUGGAAGGUCUAACGCACCGAUUUACCAAUUUCUGAGUGUUAGGUGACUUCCUUUUUUGCGAGUCCAAAGUGACCACCUCUACAAUCUCGCACUGAAAUCCGACCGCCGACCGCCAGCUGACAUCCUAUCCCUUUGUCUUGCAAAUUCUUCCUCCAAUCUCGCUGCUCACUUGCGCGUAUCACUCUAUCUCUCUGUCUGCGCUUUCAGAAUCUGAUCAAAUGACAACCAACGAAGGUGAAUAUAAUCGUCUAAACUUAUUAAUUGUGUCACAACAUAAUCCAAUCUUCUUCCUUUAGGUUACAUUUGGUACUCAGUUUUCAUCUUGGAACUUGAUGAAUUUAUUUUUCUUUUAGGUUGAUCAAAGAGUUUGACUGUGAAAUCAAAAUGGAGGAAAGUAAAAAUCCUUAAACUCAAGCAAUCAAUGGUAACAUCUACCAGAACUUGCCAUGGUUCUGCACUAUACUUGUUGAUAUUAACAACAUUCAUAUAAUUUCUUAUUUGUGAAGUGCUCCUUUAUUAGCUUCAAUAUGAAUGUAUCGUUGCAGUAAAUGGUGUUGGUUCAUUUAAAUCAAAUGAAGCAAACAGGGUAAUAAUUUUAUAUAAGCUUCACUUCAAUAUAUUGAUAACUAUUGUUCUGAUAGUCAAUAUUUUGUGAAAUCAGGUAGAACUCAAGCCAAAGGUAGAAUUGCUCAAGAACUGCACCUGAGACAAGCAGUUUAUGUUUCAAUAAAAAGUAAGUCCAAAUUCUCCUGGCGAGUUUUUGGUUUUGCCUUCUUGGGUCUUAUAUGUAAAAGCCUAAAAUGCUAAAUGCAAGAAAUGGCAGCCUACUUUCAUUUAGCUGUUUAUCAAUUAUCAUAACAUCCUACUCUCAUCAUCUUCUAUGAUGGCAUUGUAGUUUGAAAAAUCUAUC